GUCGUAAUUCAUACAAAAGGAGUGAUGCUUAAUUCAUUUCGCUAAUUGACUAAUGACGUUAUUGCAUGAUGCUUAAUUCAUUUCGCUAAUUGAGUAAUGAUGUUAUUCCACCUCCAAGGGAAGGCUCAGGUUAGGUUUAUGUUGGGUUGUGGCAUAUUUUUAUAGAAAAAUUAUCAAUUUAAGUUCAACUUGUUUAAUGGAG
rnacentral:lncRNA from 1 species